CCUACGGAGGCAGCAGUGGGGAAUAUUGGACAAUGGGCGAAAGCCUGAUCCAGCCAUGCCGCGUGUGUGAAGAAGGCCUUCGGGUUGUAAAGCACUUUCAGUGGGGAAGAAAGCCUUGGGGCUAAUACCCUCGAGGAAGGACAUCACCCACAGAAGAAGCACCGGCUAACUCCGUGCCAGCAGCCGCGGUAAUACGGAGGGUGCGAGCGUUAAUCGGAAUUACUGGGCGUAAAGCGCGCGUAGGCGGUCUGAUAAGCCGGUUGUGAAAGCCCCGGGCUCAACCUGGGAACGGCAUCCGGAACUGUCAGGCUAGAGGGCAGGAGAGGAAGGUAGAAUUCCCGGUGUAGCGGUGAAAUGCGUAGAGAUCGGGAGGAAUACCAGUGGCGAAGGCGGCCUUCUGGACUGACACUGACGCUGAGGUGCGAAAGCGUGGGUAGCAAACAGGAUUAGAUACCCGUGUAGUC
rnacentral:rRNA from 1 species